rnacentral:rRNA from 1 species
GAUGAACGCUGACAGAAUGCUUAACACAUGCAAGUCAACUUGAACUUCGGUUUGGGUGGCGGACGGGUGAGUAACGCGUAAAGAACUUGCCUCACAGAUAGGGACAACGUUUGGAAACGAAUGCUAAUACCUGAUAUUAUGAUUAUAUGGCAUCGUAUAAUUAUGAAAGCUAUAUGCGCUGUGAGAGAGCUUUGCGUCCCAUUAGCUAGUUGGAGAGGUAACGGCUCACCAAGGCGAUGAUGGGUAGCCGGCCUGAGAGGGUGAUCGGCCACAAGGGGACUGAGACACGGCCCUUACUCCUACGGGAGGCAACAGUGGGGAAUAUUGGACAAUGGACCAAGAGUCUGAUCCAGCAAUUCUGUGUGCACGAUGAAGUUUUUCGGAAUGUAAAGUGCUUUCAGUUGGGAAGAAAAAAAUGACGGUACCAACAGAAGAAGUGACGGCUAAAUACGUG